rnacentral:rRNA from 1 species
AGCAGUCGCCACGGGAAUACGUAGGGUGCGAGCGUUAAUCGGAAUUACUGGGCGUAAAGCGUGCGCAGGCGGUUAUAUAAGACAGAUGUGAAAUCCCCGGGCUCAACCUGGGACCUGCAUUUGUGACUGUAUAGCUAGAGUACGGUAGAGGGGGAUGGAAUUCCGCGUAUAGCAGUGAAAUGCGUAGAUAUGCGGAGGAACACCGAUGGCGAAGGCAAUCCCCUGGACCUGUACUGACGCUCAUGCACGAAAGCGUGGGGAGCAAACAGGAUUAGAUACCCCCGUAGUCCCUGUCUCUUAUAC